UGGGGAAUAUUGCACAAUGGGCGAAAGCCUGAUGCAGCGACGCCGCGUGAGGGAUGACGGCCUUCGGGUUGUAAACCUCUUUCGACAGGGACGAAGCGCAAGUGACGGUACCUGUAGAAGAAGCACCGGCCAACUACGUGCCAGCAGCCGCGGUAAUACGUAGGGUGCGAGCGUUGUCCGGAAUUACUGGGCGUAAAGAGCUUGUAGGCGGUUUGUCGCGUCGUCUGUGAAAACUCACAGCUCACUGGGAGCUCGUGGCGAUACGGGGGNANCAGACUUGAGUACUGCAGGGGAGACUGGAAUUCCUGGUGUAGCGGUGAAAUGCGCAGAUAUCAGGAGGAACACCGGUGGCGAAGGCGGGUCUCUGGGCAGUAACUGACGCUGAGAAGCGAAAGCGUGGGUAGCGAACAGGAUUAGAUACCCUGGUAGUCCACGCCGUAACGGUGGGUACUAGGUGUGGGUUUCCUUCCACGGGAUCCGUGCCGUAGCUNACGCAUUAAGUACCCCGCCUGGGGAGUACGGCCGCAAGGCU
rnacentral:rRNA from 1 species